rnacentral:rRNA from 1 species
GACAGAGGAUGCAAGCGUUAUCCGGAAUGAUUGGGCGUAAAGCGUCUGUAGGUGGCUUUUUAAGUCUGCCGUCAAAUCCCAGGGCUUAACCCUGGACAGGCGGUGGAAACUACCAAGCUGGAGUACGGUAGGGGCAGAGGGAAUUCCUGGUGUAGCGGUGAAAUGCGUAGAGAUCAGGAAGAACAUCGGUGGCGAAGGCGCUCUGCUGGACCAUAACUGACACUCAGGGACGAAAGCUAGGGGAGCGAAUGGG